ensembl:lncRNA
UGUAAAACCUGAGAGUAAUUGGUUGGCAGUGAAGUGUGAGUGUUUAAGGUUUUCCAUCUGAGACUAAAAAUAAUGGGAAGAGUGGAAGCCUUCUGAAACAGUUUAAAGGAAAACAAAGGAUUUUCAGAGCUAUAUUAACAAGUUCUGCUUUUUCUGCAUCAUGAAUCCUAAGGAACAUCUCAAUCCAACCACGAUAUGAUUUUCUCAGAGUUUUGUAUUUGAGAUUUAAAGUUUUCUUAUGAACUUUUGUGCUGACCAUACCAGGAUCCCUGCUCAGACCCAGGCAGAUCCAUUUUUCAUCCUUCAUCCUUCAUAGCCAUCCUGGUGCCUUGGGUGGCUAUCCAUAUGGACUGUGUCAAGAAUUUCCUUUCCCUCCAUUUCUCCAAUGGGUUUUGCUAGUAGAAGACAUUGGCAAGAGAUCUGGAGAGCAGGAGGAAAGUCAGUCUGAAAGUGCCAUUUGAUUUCUGCCUGGAUCCUGGCUGACCCAUUUCUGGAGAGUGGGAUUAGAGCCCUGCUUCCAGGAUUAGAGUCACAUGGAAGGAGCAAGCCCUAGUGGUAGAGACAACCUUUGGGAACUUCCUGUACACCAAAGCAGCUCAGUUUUAUCCUGUAACAGUAGGUUGAGAAAGACUUGGAAGAUAAGAAAGAGAGAUUAGAGAACAGAAUCUGAAGACAAAGAGGCAGAGUCCGGCAAUGAGGAGAUACCAUUACUUCUGUGCCUCACUUCACUCAUCUAUAAAGUGGGAUAAUAAUGAUACUUGUCUCAUAAAAUUACAAUCAGGAUUAAAUGAAAUAUACGUGUAAAACGCAAGAGUUCCUGGGACUUUAUAAAUAAUCAAUAGCUAUAA